UACGUAGGGUGCAAGCGUUGUCCGGAAUUAUUGGGCGUAAAGAGCUCGUAGGCGGUUUGUCGCGUCGAAUGUGAAAACCCGGGGCUCAACCCCGGGCCUGCAUUCGAUACGGGCAGACUAGAGUUCGGUAGGGGAGUCUGGAAUUCCUGGUGUAGCGGUGAAAUGCGCAGAUAUCAGGAGGAACACCGGUGGCGAAGGCGGGACUCUGGGCCGAUACUAACGCUGAGGAGCGAAAGCGUGGGGAGCAAACAGG
rnacentral:rRNA from 1 species